UGGGGAAUCUUGCGCAAUGGGCGAAAGCCUGACGCAGCGACGCCGCGUGAGCGACGAAGGCCUUCGGGUCGUAAAGCUCUGUCAGAGGGGACGAUAAUGACGGUACCCUCAGAGGAAGCCCCGGCUAACUACGUGCCAGCAGCCGCGGUAAGACGUAGGGGGCAAGCGUUGUCCGGAAUUACUGGGCGUAAAGGGCGUGUAGGCGGCCUUGCAAGUCAGUGGUGAAACACCUGGGCUCAACCGAGGUAUUGCCAUUGAAACUGCUUGGCUUGAGGGUAGAAGAGGAGUGUGGAAUUCCCGGUGUAGCGGUGAAAUGCGUAGAGAUCGGGAGGAACACCAGUGGCGAAGGCGGCACUCUGGUCUAUCCCUGACGCUGAGGCGCGAAAGCUAGGGGAGCAAACA
rnacentral:rRNA from 1 species